CCCAGAACAGAAAGAACAGAAUGGAUGAAGAUGCACAAACGAUUAUUAAUGCUAACUGAAGAACUUCAGUAUUCAUACAAGGAGCUGAUGAAUGAUUUUAUGACCAUGGAUACCUUGGAUAGUUCGGGGAGUUUUAUAGCAUCCUAGAACUAAAAAGGGGAUAUUACUUCUUAAAGGAUUCUACAUGAAACAUUUCAGUGGGCUCAGCAUAUUGGACGUGUUAUAAUCCUCCAGCUCUCCUGCCUGGACAGAACAGGUUUUCUACAUGCAGGACCUGAUGUUCCUGUUGAGGUCAUCGAAUCCAGUGGAGAAUAUUACUGCUGUCACCGACAGGAGUCCAGGCCUGGUUUAUGUCCCAGGUUUGUUACGUGAGUCAUCCUGUUGCGACUGUGAAUGUGUGUUUAUGUGUGUGCGGGAAAGCAUGAGAGAAAAAAAAACAUUUUUUCAGUGAUUUUAAAUUCAUUCUCACUAAAUGUUUAACUGUAGCAAAAGGCGAUAAUCAGUCCCACGCUUGUGCAUUUCAUUGUUGCAUCUGUUCCUAGGCUGGAUCUGACAUUUAUCAUGUAGGGAAAAGAGAGGAGCAGUGAGACAUAAGAUUAUUACUUACGGCAUCCUUGUGCUACGCAUGACUGGCCUGUGUCAGUCUAAGCGUGAGGGGUCAUUGUAGUGCCAUGGGAAAUCACAGAUAGAAGAUAUGAAGCUCCUUCACAACAAGAGACUUUAGAGACUUGUGACAUAUUAGAAACCAAAUGAGAGAUGUUAUCACUCCAAUUACUGUCUAAAAACCAUUGUAUAUUCCCGUAAGGCCAUAUUUUGGCUGCAUCAGCAGUAGCCUUCUAUAUAUAGAUGCAGAAAUACAGUGGAUAUAAAAAGUAUACACACCCCUGUUAACAGGGCAGGUUUUUGUGAUGUACAAAAAUGAAAGCAAGAUGAAAAGCAAGACUUUAUUGUGACAAAACAACUUAUUAAUUAAAGUGAAAAACAAUUUGAAUGAUUUUAGAAAAAGAAAAUGUACACCAUAUGCAUUUAUGCAUGUACACUAUAUAAGUGUACACUAUAUAUAAACAUGUACAUUAUAUAAGUGUACACCAGAGAUGGGGGACUUGAGUCACAAUUUUGAGACUUGAGACUUGCCUGACAAAUAUUAAAAAAAGA